rnacentral:rRNA from 1 species
AGUGAACGCUGGCGGUAGGCCUAACACAUGCAAGUCGAACGGCAGCACAGUAAGAGCUUGCUCUUACGGGUGGCGAGUGGCGGACGGGUGAGGAAUACAUCGGAAUCUACUUUUUCGUGGGGGAUAACGUAGGGAAACUUACGCUAAUACCGCAUACGACCUACGGUUGAAAGCAGGGGAUCUUCGGACCUUGCGCGAUUGAAUGAGCCGAUGUCGGAUUAGCUAGUUGGCGGGGUAAAGGCCCACCAAGGCGACGAUCCGUAGCUGGUCUGAGAGGAUGAUCAGCCACACUGGAACUGAGACACGGUCCAGACUCCUACGGGAGGCAGCAGUGGGGAAUAUUGGAAAAUGGGCGCAAGCCUGAUCCAGCCAUACCGCGUGGGUGAAGAAGGACUUCGGGUUGUAAAGACCUUUUGUUGGGAAAGAAAAGCAGCAGGUUAAUACCCCGCUGUUCUGACGGUACCCAAAGAAUAAGCACCGGCUAACUUCGUG